rnacentral:rRNA from 1 species
AUUGAACGCUGGCGGCAGGCCUAACACAUGCAAGUCGAACGAGUGGCGGACGGGUGAGUAAUGUCUGGGAAACUGCCUGAUGGAGGGGGAUAACUACUGGAAACGGUAGCUAAUACCGCAUACCAUCGGAUGUGCCCGAUGGGAUUAGCUGGGAGGGGGGGUAAAGGCUCACCUAGGCGGCGAUCCCUAGCGGGUCUGAGAGGAUGACCAGCCACACUGGAACUGAGACACGGCCCAGACUCCUACGGGAGGCAGCAGUGGGGAAUAUUGCACAAUGGGCGCAAGCCUGAUGCAGCCAUGCCGCGUGUAUGAAGAAGGCCUUCGGGUUGUAAAGUACUUUCAGCGGGGAGGCGUUACCCGCAGAAGAAGCACCGGCUAACUCCGUGCCAGCCGCCGCGGUAAUUC